rnacentral:lncRNA from 10 species
UCCAGCAGCUGCUCCAAGCUUUUCUGCCAUUUGAAGCUUCUUCUGGGAGCCAGCUGUGACCAGAGGAAUAGCUCCAGCCAUCCGGUUAAAAGUUUAACAACCGGAACAGCUCCAGUCUGCAGCUCCCAGCGUGAUCGACGCAGAAGACAGGUGAUUUCUGCAUUUCCGACUGAGGUAACUGAUUCAUCUCACUGGGACUGGUUUGACAGUGGGUGCAGCCCACGGAUGGGGAGCUGAAGCAGGGCAGGGCGUCACCUCACCCUGGAAGUGCAAGGGGUCAGGGGAUUUCCCUUUCCUAGCCAAGGGAAGCCGUGACAGACUACCUGGAAAAAUGGGACACUCCUGCCCAAAUACUGCACUUUUCCCAAGAUCUUAGCCACCGGCAGACAAGGAGAUUCUCUCCCAUGCCUGGCUCGGCGGGUUCCACACCCACGGAGCCUUGCUCACUGCUAGUGCAGCAGUCUGAGAUCGAACUGUGAGGCGGCAGCCUGGCUGGGGGAGGGGCGUCCGCUGUUGCUGAGGCUUGAGUAGGUAAACAAAGCAGCCGGGAAGUUCGAACUGGGCAGAGCCCACUGCAGCUCAGUAAGGCCUACUGCCUCUAGACUCCAUCUCUGUGGCCAGGGCAUAGCUGAACAAAAGGCAGCAGACAACUUUUGCAGACUUAAAGGUCCCUGUCUGACAGCUCUGAAGAGAGCAUUGGUUCUCUCAGCACGGUGUUUGAGCUCUGAGAACGGACAGACUGCCUCCUUAAGUGGGUCCCUCACCCCCAUGUA